AGAAUGUGGACCUAAAAACAGAA
rnacentral:tRNA from 1 species